rnacentral:lncRNA from 1 species
GAGCGCGUGCGGCCGCCGAGCACAUGGGCCCGCGGGCCGGGCGGACUCGGGCGGCCUGGACCGGGAGGAACAGCGAGGGGCGGCGAGCGAGGCUGGGUCCCGGCACGCCCCCGGAGCCCCCCGAGUGGAUUUCCACGCGGAAAGGAUGGUGGCCGUCCGGGUGACCUGCGGAGACACGGCCGGAUCCACCUUCCAGCCUGAUCUUUUGAUCAGGGAGGAAUUCAAAAGAAUGCCCCCUUGUGAUGGCUGCGCUGUCAAGUACAUGGAGCUUCCCUCGAGGAUUUUCUGAGCCUUGUGGAUAUACUGUGAGCCUCGCUGCCUGGGGAGUAAGGCGGCGGAAGCAGUCUCUGGGGGGACCCAUGCCCGCAGCAUUUCUGGAUGCUAAAGGUGGCUUUAAGGAAGGCCCAGCUGAGUGCCUCGUGGAUUCCUGCAGCCUGGAUGCCUGCGGGGGACAGAAGACCGAUGCUUCCUGCCCUCAUCACCCAGGAAUGUCGGGAGGGGGCUCCGCCAGUUCCCUGAAGGGCUCCCAGUGAAACCUUCCUGUGAUGGCUGUGGUGUAAUCUGAAAAAAUGCAGAUCCGUUCAGAACUCCAGAAGGACUUGAAAACUGUCCUGCCCUGAACGAAAGCUGGAAUAUCGUGGGCUUUGAUGAACCAAGGAAAAGUGCCUUCAUCAGGACGCAGCAGUAAGCCUGCUGACUACUUAAGCCCUGCCUAGGUUCCUAGGAAAUGGGCAGGAAAAGUGCCUGCCACCUGCUGCUUGCUGGUGUGCUGUUUUGGCAGCAGGAGCUGUGGGAACACACAGGGGCAGGAGAACAAACACAUUACACACGAGGACUUCCAUCCUCCAGCCAGCAAGGUGCCGACACCUCACACUUGAGUGGGAUGGACCGGACCUCUGGAUCCAGCCUGUCUUGUUUCCAGUCCUGCCUCCACCACUGACUGGCUAUGUGACCUCAGACACCUGCUGAGCGCCCUACUGUGUGCCCUGCCCCCCUGAACGAGGCAGCCUCGGAGCUUGGAUCCUAGUUGGAGAGACAGGCAAUUAGCAGGAUGGCAGAUCCACAUCCAGGAUCCUGGGAAGCACUUGACAGAGGGGAGGAGCCCAGCAAUAACACUGACCAAAGAGAAGUGAAUCCUUUUGCCCAGUGACUGGAAGACACAAGAAAGUGGUGGGGGGUGGGAGGCAGGGGGGAAGGAGCCUGGCACCUUGCCACGCUUCCCCUGUAAGGAGCACACACCCUCUCCCCCACCCCCUCCCCCCAAACACAUAAUACCUUUUAACUGGUGAUUUGGUCACUGCUGUGCUAUCUUCAUUGAAUGUGGUUUUGAGAGAAUGGUUGGUCUGGAAAUUUUAUUUUCAAUUAAACUUCCUUGUGGAACUGCCUUGGUUUUGAAAGGACUCUAUUAGGAUGGCUAAUUAUAUAGCAGUUGCUACAAGGAGAUGUUUGCACUCCAUUGCAGCUCUUAGGUAAUUCAAAUCCAAUGCUUUCUCUUCUCCUCCCUGGAGCCGUGUGUGAUCAUCUUCCGCUCACACCGUCGGCUUCUUGUGAGUUAUUUUUGGAAUUUCAAAUCAAAACAGCGAUUUUGGCGGAUGGGUGAGUAUAUAUACUCUCGCCUAGCAAAGUAAACCACAUGGACUGAUACACCCAGCCCAAGAGUCGGUGCCUUUAAAGAGCAGCAGAACCAUCUCCCUCCGUGAAGGUUAAAUUGGGGGGAACUGCACACUGUCCUUGAUGGUAUCACAGUCCUCUGUGAGCUCUAUCUGAAGUCAAAGAAAAUUGAGAUUCCUUGAAAAUUACCAACUAUGCGUUGUUCCUCUGCCAAGGGCGGCCAGGGUCAUUUUGUUUCAGGAUGGCGGGUCUUGGCAGAAUUUACUGGGGACUCUGUUUUGGCUGCUGGACCCGCUAUAUGAGACAUGGAAAUCACUUUAUUUUCCCACCCUGUGCUGUCUCCUUCUGUUCCUAGAGUGCAUGGGACAUACCUGACCAUGCAGACUAAGCAGACAAAGAGCCUAAGCUCUUUCGGGGCAGGGCUGUGUUCAUCUUGUUUUGUUCCUGGUGCAUUAUAGGUGCUCAGAUAGUUGAAUAAUUACAUAGAUAAAUGAGUGCUAUCCCAUUUCUCUUUUUCUCUUUUAAUUUUUUAAAUUUUUUUAUGUUUUUGGUUUUUAGGGCCAAACAUGCAGCAUAUGGCAGUUCCCAGGCCAGGGGCAGAAUCAUACCUGCAGCUGCCAGUCUGUGCCACAGCUCACGGCAAUGCUGGAGCGAGACCAGGUAUCAAACUGCAUCCUCAUGGAUGCUAGUCAGGUUCGUUAUUGCUGAACCACAACAGAACUCCAUCUAUUUUUCUAUUUGUUUAUUUUGCAUUUUAGGGCCAAACUUGGGAGUUCCCAGGCUAGGGGUCGAGUUGGAACUGCUGUUGCUGCCUAUACCACAGCCACACCAAUGCAGGAUCCAAGCCAUGUCUGUGACCUACACCAUAGCUCAUGGCAACCCAGGAUCAUUAACCCACUGAGUGAGGCCAGGGUUCAAAACCCACAUCCUCGUGGAUACUAGUCCGGGUCGUUUCAGCCAAGCCACAAUGGAAACUCCUCUCUCUCUCUCUCUCUUUUUUUUCUUUUUUUUUUGAAAAAAAUCAUUUAUUACAUAAAUAGUAACUGAAUGUUUUCAUCUUGAGGGGGAAAAGAAACUUUACGGAGUUCCCGUCGUGGCGCAGUGGAAACAGUCUGACUAGGAACCAUGAGGUUGCAAGUUUGAUCCCUGGCCUCGAUCAUUGGGUUGGGGAUCUGGUGUUGCCAUGAGCUAGGGUGUAGGCCGACAGCUGCAGCUCCAAUUGGACCCCUAGCCUGGGAACCUCCAUAUGCCGCUAGAGCGGCCCUGAAAAAAGGCAAAAAAAAAAAAAA